GUGCCCUAGCUCCUCCCACAAGCGAUGGCCCCAUCCCACAUGACCUGGCCCCGCCCACUGCCCUAGCUCCUCCCACACGCCCCGGCCCCUCCCAGGGACUCUUGCCUUCUGUCCAGGUUGAGGUCUCUCAUGAGCUUUGCCCCCUGCGACAUGGAGGAUUUCUGGACAUGGCGUCUUCUGGGAGAAAUCAGCUCCCCCAGCCACCCGGCCAAUAGGCGGUAAGAGGCCGUCGUUACCCUGAGCGCACACGUUCCUCCAGUGACUUCCCUUCCAAACAGCCCUCCCUUUACCGUCCGAUGACGUUCCUCUCCUGCGUUUGUUGGACUUGGCGGCGGCUUAUUGCUCAGGCGGCUUGUCUCAAAUUGCAAUUCCUUGCUGUCUCUGAUUAAACCCAUCGUUUCUGGUAAAAUAACGGAGUUUCACUUUUUAUUAUUUUAGUAUUUUUUUAAGAUUUUUUAAAAUGGAUUUUUAGAGAUAGAGGAAGGAAGAGAGAGAACCAUCAAUGGAAGAGUGAAACAUCUAUCCGCUGCCUCCUGCACACCCACCCCCUACCCAGGAUGGAACCUGCACCCCAGGCAUGUGCCCUGACCGCGAAUGGACCCGCAACCUUUUGGUGCAUGGAUGACGCCCAACCAACCGAGCCACACUGGCCAGGGCCGGACUGUUGUAUUUUUCAGGUUGACACCUGGAGCCUGGUUCCCAGCUGUGAGGUGAGCGCCCGAGCCUGUCCCUCGGCUCUGGGGGUCACGCGUGUUCCGGAAGGAGCGCCUGGAUUGUAGGGAGAAACCUGUAGCUGGGAGCGGCCUCCAGAGCGACCCCAUCGCCUGACACUCGGCCUCGGAUGGACCAGGUGACCAGGCGCGUGACUCCUGGGCUUGGUCUCAAAGCACCGCAGCCACUGCCUCGCCUGGGAGGGCUGGCCCUGGGCAGCCAUGCACAUCAUGCGGACGCUGGAGAGGCCACAGGAGGGGCUGGGACAGCUGAGCCAUGGCGGGAGCCCAGCCCUCUGCAGGCUGUGUGCACACAGGGGUGCCACCCCCACCCCAGCUCCCAGGCAGGGGGAGCCAAGGAAACCAUCCUCCGCUGGUCCUGCGGGGGACCCCUGGGAACCCGGAAGUCUGGGGAAGGAAUUGGGGCCACCUCGCCCCUGGUGUAUUUGAGCAGCUGUGGGCACCAUCAUAUCUACCCCUAAAGGCAGCAAAGGGACGAAAUUCUGGACCCGGAGGCUGAGGUUGGGGGCACGUUCGGACAGAGCAGUUCCAGCCCCCCUGUCGGUGGUGGGAGCCUGAGCUGGCCCCUCCCUUCUGUUCCACACCCGCUUGUCCCCGCUCUGUCCCCAGAGCCCUCUCUGAACUUGCGCCCUCGCUGUCAGAGGGUGUGGGGCUGAGCGCAGGGCUGUGGGCAGCGGAGGUCGAGCAGCGGGAGGCCUGGACAGGACCCUGGGGAGGGGGGUGCCGGCCCCAGGAGGCCCCUCCUGCCACACACCUCUGGCCACGAUGCUCAAUAGCCACCUGGAGAAACGACCCCUGACCCACCCGCACAAUCAUUUCCUUUUUUUUUUUUUUUAAUAGUUAUUGAUUUCAGAGAGAGAGAGAGAGAGAGAGGGAGAGAGAGAGAAAUAUCAAUGAUGGGAGAGAAUCAUUGAUCAGCUGCCUCCUGCACGACUCCCACCAGGGAUCAAACUCACAACUUGGGCAUGUGCCCUGACUGGGAAUCAAACCCUGACCUCCCAGUUCGUAGGUCGACACUCAACCGCUGAGCCAUACUGGCCAGCAUCAUCUCUUGAUCAAGUGGUCAAAACGCAAAUGCUGCAGGAUUUAUGUUCCGUUCCUGGUGGGUGCGGGCGCCUCAGGCAGCUGGGCUCAUGGGCAGAGCCCAGGGACUUUGCACACCAAGGAAGGGCCCAGGCAGAGCAGAGGAGACGGGGACGGGUGCUGGGCUGCCUGGGGCCCUUGGCCCUGCCCCUCCGAGCUGCUCCCUGCCCUAGACCACACUCUGGGUCUCCAGGAGACCCCACUGGGCCCUCAGCCUUCCCCGUGAGUGUCCACAAGGGGGCGAUGUGACUGGUGUUUUAAGGGGCCACCAGGUUUGGGGGCCAGAGCCUCAGGCAGGACCCAGAGUAUGUGCCAGCCCCACCUUCCGCCCAGCCUGAGCAUGCACAGCUGGGGCCCGGGCUCUUGUCACUGAACGCUGUGUUGGUGUAAGAAUGUCCAAACCUGUACAGAAUUGUUCCCUUUAAUUUCUUUUAUUUAUUGAUUUUUAGAGAGAGAGAGGAAGAGAGAGGAAAAACACAUCAAUUUGUUGUUCCACUUAUUUUUGCAUUCACUGGUUGCUCCUUGUAUGUGCCCUGACCAGGGAUCAAACCCAUAGCCUUGCCCUAACCGGACAAUGCUCCAACCAACUGAGCUACCCAGCCAGGGCGAGAAUUUUUAUAAAAAUUUAUUUGAGCUACUCUCUCUCUCUCCCCCCGCACCCCCCCCCCCAUCACUCCGGCACCCUUUCCUCUCUCCUUUUCCCAGGCAUGUUCUCUCUGACUCUUUUUCCUAAGCUCCAAGGGCCCUUCUUUUGCCUCUGUAACUCGUUUCCUGGGCCCACCCAGCCCAGCUGGCUCACCUUUCGGCCCUCAGUGACUUUCUAAAUAAACUUUCUCUUAUCAUUUGGAAGAAAGAAUUUUAUUGAGCUAAAAAGAGGACACACCUGAAAGCAAGAUGUCAACAGUGAGGUAAGUGCCGCAGAGUGACAGGGUGCGGCUUCUUUUGUGCGGGGGGGGGGGGGGGGGGCGGGGGGGGCCAGGAGGGAACGCGAGGAGGUUACCAGGGACGGGGUGCAGGACAGGCCGCAGGUGUGUGCUCUCCUGAGGCAGUGCCACUUAUUCCAAAGGUGCCUCAGCCCAGCCCUGGCGGGUGUGGCUCCGGUGGUGGGAGCUUUGUCCCUUGCACGGAAGCGUGACUGGCUUGAUUCCAAGUCAGGGCACAUACCCCAGUUGUGGGUUUCAUCUGAUCAGUGUUUCUCUCUGUCCCUCUCCCUUCCCCUCUCUCUCAAAUCAAUAAAAACAUUUAAAGAAUAUUUCCUGAUAGACUGCGUGGCUGACAAAAUAAGGACCCCACAAAGGUGUCCCUGUCCCAACCCCCAGAACCUGUGGCCAUGUCACCUUCCCUGGCGAGGGAGAAGCGAGGGUGCGUGUGGACUGAAGCAG